rnacentral:rRNA from 1 species
CGCAGGGGGCGCAUCAAGUCUGCUGUUAAAGGCUGGAGCUUAACUCCGGUAGAGCAGUGGAAACUGGUGCGCUAGAGGGCGACAGGGGUAGAGGGAAUUCCCAGUGUAGCGGUGAAAUGCGUAGAGAUUGGGAAGAACACCGGUGGCGAAAGCGCUCUACUGGGUCGCACCUGACCCUCAGGGACGAAAGCUAAGGUAGCGAAAGGGAUUAGAUACCCCUGUAGUCUUAGCCGUAAACGAUGGAUACUAGGCGUGGUUUGUAUCGACCCAAGCCGUGCCGAAGCUAACGCGUUAAGUAUCCCGCCUGGGGAGUACGCACGCAAGUGUGAAACUCAAAGGAAUUGACGGGGGCCCGCACAAGCGGUGGAGGAUGUGGUUUAAUUCGAUGCAACGCGAAGAACCUUACCAGGGCUUGACAUCCCGCGAAUCCCCAUGAAAGUGGGGAGUGCCUUCGGGAGCGCGGAGACAGGUGGUGCAUGGCUGUCGUCAGCUCGUGUCGUGAGAUGUUGGGUUAAGUCCCGCAACGAGCGCAACCCUCGUCCUCAGUUGCCAGCAUUGAGUUGGGCACUCUAGGGAGACUGCCGGUGACAAACCGGAGGAAGGUGAGGAUGACGUCAAGUCAGCAUGCCCCUUAUGCUCUGGGCAACACACGUCCUACAAUGGUCGGGACAAAGGGGAGCGAGCUCGCGAGAGUCAGCGAAUCCCAGCAAACUCGGCCUCAGUUCAGAUUGCAGGCUGCAACUCGCCUGCA